rnacentral:rRNA from 1 species
CCAAUAGCGUAUAUUAAAGUUGUUGCAGUUAAAAAGCUCGUAGUUGAAUUUCGGGGUCAGUAGGUUGGUCGUGCCACCGGUACGUACUGGUCUCACUGAUUCCUCCUUCCUGAUGAGCUGUAAUGCCAUUAAUUUGGUGUUGCAGGGAAUCUGGACUGUUACUUUGAAAAAAUUAGAGUGUUUAAAGCAGGCUAACGCUUGAAUACAUUAGCAUGGAAUAAUGAAAUAGGACGUUCGAUCCUAUUUUGUUGGUUUCUAGGAUUGACGUAAUGAUUAAUAGGGAUAGUUGGGGGCAUUAGUAUUCAAUUGUCAGAGGUGAAAUUCUUGGAUUUAUUGAAGACUAACUACUGCGAAAGCAUUUGCCAAGGAUGUUUUCAUUAAUCAAGAACGAAAGUUAGGGGGAUCGAAGACGAUCAGAUACCGUCGUAGUCUUAACCAUAAACUAUGCCGACUAGGGAUCGGAUGAUGUUAAUUUUUUAAUGACUCAUUCGGCGCCUUACG